ACAGGAACAGAUUAGAAGAGAUCAGUAAUUGGAAGUGUAAUACUGGGGUGGAAACUUGAUUUGAGUGGUAUGUGCAGACAAAGAGCUGUAAAAGAACUACUGUAACCCUUGUUUUCUUUUUCUUUUAACACAGACAUUUCCUUACACACAAUUAAAGUAGAUUUAGGGGAUUAAGAAAUAAAUGUCUCAGAGCCUGUGGGAAUAGAGUUGUUAGAUCUAGUGUCUUGGCCACAUUCCAGUUUGGAUAUUGCCCCAAUUUUUUAAAGCUGCAUAUGAUUCCAACUCAUUUCAUCUCAAGGGAUUUCUGGAAUCCCAUAUGACUUCUUUACUUAAUCACCCGCAGUGCAAAAGUCUUCCAAUGGACAUCCAAACUUCUCAUGAACUUUGUAAGCUCUUUGCAACUGCAAUGUCCUUUUGCAAGAAGUUCCACAGCUCUGCUGCCCACUGCAUGAAAAAACAGUUCCUUUCUGAACUUGCAUGUUACUUGUCUCCACUGAUGGUCUCUUAUUCUUUCACUGAAAGAGAUGAAGAACUGUCAGCUCCUACUCUUUCUCUUGAUCAUCAUUAUGUGUACUACUCUUAUAUCCCCCUUUUCUCAAGCUGUCUUUCCCAUGCUGAAAUAUCCCAUAUCAUAUUACACACAGAAGUGAUUUCAUAGCCUUUUUAUUUGUUUUACCUUCCUUUGAAGCUAGUUAUGGAAUGAA